UACGGAAGGGGCAAGCGUUGUUCGGAAUCAUUGGGCGUAAAGGGCGCGUAGGUGGUUCUGUAUGUCUACCGUGAAAGCAUACAGCUCAACUGUAUUUUGUCGGUAGAAACUGCAGGACUUGAGGCUGGGAGGGGCUGGUGGAAUUCCCUGUGUAGCGGUGAAAUGCGUAGAGAUGGGGGAGAACACUCGUGGCGAAGGCGGCCAGCUAGACCAGUUCUGACACUGAGGCGCGACAGCGUGGGGAUCAAACAGG
rnacentral:rRNA from 1 species